rnacentral:rRNA from 1 species
AGUGGCGACCGGGUGAGUAACACGUGACUAACCUACCCUCAAGUGGGGAAUAACCUCGGGAAACCGGGGCUAAUUCCGCAUAACAUCGCUGCAAUCAAAGGAGCGCUGGAGGAGGGGGUCGCGGCUGAUUAGCUAGUUGGCAGGGUGACGGCCUACCAAGGCGAUGAUCAGUAGCCGGCCUGAGAGGGCGCACGGCCACACUGGAACUGAAACACGGUCCAGACUCCUACGGGAGGCAGCAGUGGGGAAUUUUGCGCAAUGGGGGAAACCCUGACGCAGCAACGCCGCGUGGAGGAUGAAGUCCCUUGGGACGUAAACUCCUUUCGAACGGGACGAAUGACGGUACCGUAAGAAGAAGCCCCGGCUAACUCCGUGCCAGCAGCCGCGGUAAUACGGGGGGGGCGAGCGUUGUUCGGAAUUAUUGGGCGUAAAGGGCGCGUAGGCGGUGUCGCAA